rnacentral:rRNA from 1 species
UACAGAGACUGCAAGCGUUAUUCGGAUUCACUGGGCGUAAAGGGUGCGCAGGCGCCAAGUGUGUCAGGUGUGAAAUCCCGGGGCUUAACUCCGGAACUGCGCCUGAAACUACUUGGCUAGAGCAUUGGAGAGGGAAGUGGAAUUCACGGUGUAGCAGUGAAAUGCGUAGAUAUCGUGAGGAACACCAGAGGCGAAGGCGACUUCC